CCUACGGGAGGCUGCAGUAGGGAAUAUUGCUCAAUGGGGGAAACCCUGAAGCAGCAACGCCGCGUGGAGGAUGAAGGUUUUCGGAUUGUAAACUCCUUUUGAUAGAGAAGAUAAUGACGGUAUCUAACGAAUAAGCACCGGCUAACUCCGUGCCAGCAGCCGCGGUAAUACGGAGGGUGCAAGCGUUACUCGGAAUCACUGGGCGUAAAGAGCGCGUAGGCGGGAUAGCAAGUCAGAUGUGAAAUCCUAUGGCUUAACCAUAGAACUGCAUUUGAAACUGUUAUUCUAGAGUAUGGGAGAGGUAGGUGGAAUUCUUGGUGUAGGGGUAAAAUCCGUAGAGAUCAAGAGGAAUACUCAUUGCGAAGGCGACCUACUAGAACAUAACUGACGCUGAUGCGCGAAAGCGUGGGGAGCAAACAGGAUUAGAUACCCCGGUAGUC
rnacentral:rRNA from 1 species